CUCCCAGAAGAAAUACAAUGUGAAGACACACAGGGAGAAGAUGGCCUUGUGACCAGGGAGAUGCAUCUACAGACCAACAAAUGCCAAGGAUUGCCAGAGAACAGAAAAAGCUGGAAGAAUCAAGGAAGGAUUCUCCCCUGGAGCCAUCAGAGAGAGCAUGCCCUGAUAUCACCUUGAUUCUUCACUUCUACCUUUCAGAAUUAAGGAAGCCAGCUGCCAUGCUUUGAGCUGCUCUAUGGAAAGGCACAUUUGGCAAGGAACUGAUGCCUCCAGUCAACAGCCAGCCAGGACUUGAGACCAGAUAAAGCCUGGAAGCUGCACGUCACCUGCCAGCUUUGUGUGUGCCCAGUGAGUGCAGGUGGCAUAAUGACCAGCGGUGACUUGAAUGACAAGGGGACAGAACAGCUGGACAAUCCAAUUCCUAGAUGCUUUCUCCAGUUAUGGCCCUGACUGGGAUCUCCGAAGAAUGACUCAGCUGAAACUGUCAGUGAGGAUGCUUACCUGUGGUCUCCCCAUCAUGGUGGUAUCAGGGUUGUUGAACACCUUACAUGGCUCCAAAAGCAAGUGUUCUGGAAUGUAAGGCAACAGCUGUGUGGUCUUUCAUAAUCCAGCAUCAGAAGUCACAUGGCAUCACUCCUGCUAAAAUUUCUUUGUGGAAGCAGCCACAAAACUGCCCAAAUUCAAGUAGAGGGCACACAGAUCUUAUUUUUUGAUGGGAGGACUCACAAAAAUUUUGCCACCAUAUUAUAAAAACACUAUAAGAUCUAAUAGUAACUUUAACUUUUUUUAACCAAUCCUUCUAUUUUCAGCCCAGACUUCACUUCCUUAUUCAGAUGUAUAAAUGUCUUCUGUGGCUUUGUGAUCAAAUCUGAAUGUUUCUUGGAUUUACCCCUGCCAGCUAAGGAUUUGGCCUUCUUUGAUCUGUUAAAUCAGUUCUCAAACACUGACUUGUUUUCCAUCUAAAAUAUCAGGGUGACCUUUAUCCCAUUCUCAUUGCUUUGAGGAUUUUGUGCCCCCUUUUUUAAAGUCACUUUCUAUGUAUUUUUAUAUGAGUGAGGUUUUGGGAGAAAGUACAGAUAAAUAUAUAUUCUCAAUCUACCACUUUAAUUGAAAAUUCUUGUUUUUUCUUUUACAAAAUUCCUAAUGUUUGCCUAACAAACAUUUAUUGAGAAACUGCUGUAUUUUCAGUAUGUGUUAAGGUCUGUGUACAUCUAUUUUAUAUACAUUAUCUUAUUUAAUAUGCUCAUUUAAUUUCCACAUCUUGUUUAACAUUUAUAAUCUUUUGAUUUGUUAAAUACAAUUUGUAGAAGACCAUUGGUUUAGCGUGAGCUGCACCAGGCCUGGCAGACCAAACCAAAAUGUAGUAUCUCAUACUAAAGUUCCAUGCCACCAAGCUGAAACUAAGUUGUUUAUCUGACUUUCCAAGAAGUCAGGAGAAAGAGAUAACAGUCAAAUCCCCAAAUAUGCUAGUUUGAGUUGGCAUGAUAGGAAAGUUCCUUCCACUUUAGCCUUUAUACGAAAGUAACUUUGGAAUGAUCAGUCUGCUUUUUGUUUCCUGUUUCUGUUUCAGCACUUUUUGUAAAGCCAACUUCUUCUCAGCACAUCAGAACACUCAUUCUACUUUAUAGAAUGAGGUAUAAUCUGAAUCUAAAAUCACAAAUAAAAGCCAAUUAAGAUUUUUAAAGUAAGUUUGUUGUAAUUUUGUCUUUUGACAGAUUUCAUCAUUGCCUACAUUUGUCUUCAGACGACCUGCAGUACAAACUUGGCUUAAACCUGCAGUUGACAAUGGUAACAGGAAUCUUAUUUUAAAAAAUAAUAUGCGCCACCAGCUAAGUUGGUCAUGAUGAGGUCUGGGCCUUGAUAGCCUUCUGGGUUUUAAUUCACACAAUAUGUUUGAAAAAAGAAAAAUCAAAGUAACUGUAAUUUUUUUGUAAAGCAAAAUACUUUUUAAAAGCCAUGAGGCACGUGUUACUCAAAGGGCUCCUUGGAUGAAUUAU